UUGAAGCGUUCGAUCGAAUAGUUAGAGGUACUUUGUUAUUUACGUAUAUGUUCGAGAUAAACGAGGAAAAUCUUAUAACAUAAGAGAAGAUCGCUCGGCAGCAUGAGAGAAUAGAGUGAUCGUUUGUAACACGGAAGCAAGUGUAUCGAAUUUAAACAGAAAGGUAAGAGUCAUCAUCGACAUCAUGAUUUUAUUACCAACAUUUCCUGUAUCCGUCAUGAUAAUUUUGCGGCCAUCAGAAAAAGAAGAUACAACGAAGAGGAUUAUCAAGACUGAAAUUUGAUCCACGUUAAACAGAAUAAUAAUAAGAAGAAGAAGAAGAAAAAAUAAAAAAAAUAUUCUUGAUCGUGAUGACUACUUGACUACCAGUUUGAAGUAGCGAAAGAAAAAGAAAAGAAAAAGAAAAAAACAAAGAGAAAGAAGAAAAAAAUCGUACAAAAGUACUUUACCGAGGUGAUCGUUAUCAUCUCGUUACUUCCUUAACGUAUAUCGUUUUAGCCCUUUUUCGAAAUGUCACAACGACGAUGUUACGACUUUUUAGAAGAUACGUAGAUUGUAAGAAAAGUGCGUGGACACUUCGGGAGGAUAUAAAUCCAGAUGGAAACAUGUUCCAAGGUGGAAAGGUUGUCCUUUGGCGCGAUGAGUGUACCAAGAUAGGCCAAAGAAACAUGUCCGACGUAAUCUCUGACAAACACCUGUGUAAACACCAAAAACUCGACGUUAUUUUUUCACGGUUAAAGUAUAAUUUAUUACUGGGUUUCUUCUUUAAUUUUUAAAUUUAUAUAUAUAUAUAUAUAUAUAUAUGUAUUAGGUGGACCAGAAAGUAAUGUCGUUUCUGCGCAUGUCGAUAUUUGAUUGUGAUUAAAAAUAAGAACUUCUAAAAUUUUAUUCGUUUGAAUUUAAUUUAAGAAAGCGACAUUACUUUCCGGUCCACCUAAUAUAUAUAUUGUAUAGAAUUUUCCAAUGAUUUUCUUCGGACAAUCAAAGAACACUGAUCGAUACGUGAACACAUUAGUAAUACAUCUACUCGAUGGAAAACGGUAUUGUAUUUUCGCGUGGGAGUCCAUUCAACGUGGAACAUUAAUAAUGAAAUCCGUGAGGUAGAGUUGCGUUCUCCCCGGUAUGAAAUGCGACGGAAAAUUCAAGACACGUAUGUGUACGGUAACGCAGCAUCUUGUUUAUUGAAGUUUAUGGGAUUGCAUGUGCCCGCUUUCGAGAUAAAAUCUAUCUGACAGUGGAAAUACACUUUGUACCGCGACGGGAUAGAGGAUCGUGUUCAACCGGUAAACCACGCUUACUACGUUAGUGUACGUAUGCGCGUCUACGCCUCUUUACUAUGCGUGUAUAUGUUCUAUCUCUCUCUUUCUAUAUAUAUAUAUAUAUAUCGUUUUCUCGUCUCUCUCUCUCUCUCUCUCUCUCUCUCUUUAUCUCUCUCUCUCUCUUUUUCUCUUUAUCUUUUUCUCUCUCACUUAUUCUCUUACCGUCGUGUAUAUAAACUCAACUCAUACAUGCUCGUUUAACAACGAUCGUAUUAUGCAACGAUAACCGUAUGCUCACCUGCUUCGCCGCGGUUUACGAGAAACGUUACUCACUGUUAUUCCUAUUAAUUAUUCGUUAACGUAACAACAAUACCGGUGCUCCAUUCGUACUCAUAGAUCUUCUAUUUGACUAGAGUCAUAAUGGCAUCCGCGUAACUUCGUAAUCGUUGAAUAUUAAUCUUUUCGGUAUUAAAGCCGUGUUUUCAACUAAUGUCCGAAUGAAAGAGAGAGAUAAAGAGAAAGAAAGAGAAAGAGAGAGAGAGAGAGAGAGAAAGAAAGAAGAAAAGAUGCAAUUUAAUUCGUACUUUCUCGAUUUCUCGAUUGUUUGACCUCUCGUAAACAACUCUUAUAGCAAACAAGUCUUUUGACUAAGUUUAUAAACGUAGACAUGAAUUGGAUAUUUAUUUUUUCUCUACGUAUUUGUGCUUAUCAUUGUGUAUAACGAUGCUAAUACCUUUAUCCGUUCAAUCUUUAAGAACAUUCUUAGGUUCAAGUAGAUAAGUUUGUUAACACUUCGAAUUACGCGUAAAUCACAUAUGGCCCACUUUUUCAUUCGGAUUUGAUUUUAAUAAUUUUGCUUAAAGACGAAAUAUUAUCAUAAAAUCCAUCGUAAAUGUAUCGUCAACUGAUACAUAAUUAUCACAUUUAAUGGAAUUUUUGUAAGAUGGACCAUUGAUAAUGGGUCAUGCGGCCUGAUAGAACGUUUUAAGUUUACAAGAAAAUUCACUGUUGUUAUCGUCAAAUUAUCAAUUGUGUCGUUUUAAUUUCACUUAUUGUUUCUUAUUAAUAUACGAUGACAAUUGUAUAAUUAUUUCAUGUGAGAUAUAAAUAACAUAUAAUACAAAUAAAGGAUUAUAUUGAUCUCCUAAUCUGAGUUUAAAAUAUGUUAUAAAAUAACAAUUUAUUUCGUUCUUUCUUUAAAACAUUUAACAUGCGCAAUAUUGGCAGAGAGAGAGAGAGAGAGAGAGAAAAAGAGAGAGUUUGUUAGACUUUCUCUCAAGGUUCAUUUAUUA